rnacentral:rRNA from 1 species
CCUACGGGAGGCUGCAGUGAGGAAUAUUGGUCAAUGGUCGCGAGCCUGAACCAGCCAAGUAGCGUGCAGGAUGACUGCCCUAUGGGUUGUAAACUUCUUUUAUGCAGGAAUAAAGUGCGUCACGUGUGCCUUUUUGUAGGUACUUCAUGAAUAAGGACCGGCUAAUUCCGUGCCAGCAGCCGCGGUAAUACGGAGGAUCCGGGCGUUAUCCGGAUUUAUUGGGUUUAAAGGGAGCGUAGAUGGCUUGUUAAGUCAGUCGUGAAAUGUUGUGGCUCAACCGUAAAAUUGCAGUUGAUACUGGCAGCCUUGAGUACAGUUGAGGUAGGCGGAAUUCGUGGUGUAGCGGUGAAAUGCUUAGAUAUCACGAAGAACUCCGAUUGCGAAGGCAGCCUACGAAACUGCCACUGACAUUGAUGCUCGAAGGUGUGGGUAUCAAACAGGAUUAGAUACCCGAGUAGUC